rnacentral:lncRNA from 1 species
AGGCCAAACAAACCCACCUCCAAGAGUCUUCUCCCAGACUCCAGCCUUGAGGAUGAGGACUCCAGCCACAGCCUCCUCAAGAAGUUUGAAGUCUGCAUUGAACUCAUUAAUUUCCAGCUUUUGGCCGGGCGUGGUGGCUCAUGACUAUAAUUCCAGCACUUUAGGAGGCCAAGAUGGGGCCCAUGAGUGAGGAGGACAAGAGAGAAAGGAGAAGUUUGGGUGUAAAUCCCAGAGAUUGUUCAUCAUGUGAGAGGAGCCGUGCAUGCAUUUCAUGCCAUACUCACACCAUGGAUGGAGAAAAAAAAUCAAGCUUCACUUUCUGAGAAUGGCCCUGGGGGCACUGCAUCUAGUGCCUGUGCAUCUGCAGACCUGCCGGAUGCCUCCAGGGGAAUCAUGCCACCCCAAGCAAGAAAGGGCCCAGUUGCCAGGAGCCUGGAGGCAGAGAGCUGAGGAGCCAGCCCCUGACAUCAGAAUGGAGCUCAAAGGUUGGCUGGGUGUGACUCUGCCGUGGACAGCUUCUCUUGGGAAAUCUACUUUAAUGAAUCCAGGGGACCAAUUUGUAAUCAGCCCAUCAGAUGUUCAGCGACACUUAGCUGGAAUCUCGUUGCUGGACUCUGUGCCCCGCAGUGGAUGACAGUUCUCCAUCAGGGUCUGCAGUCCUCUACCCUGGACUUGCUGCAUCCUGGAGCCCCCAGCAGUCAGGUACCGGCUCUCAGAACUGCCUGCAUCCCAUUGGCCUGAGCUGCUGUCUGCCAGGGCUGCUGGUAACCAGGCCCACAGGGUUGGAUAUUCCCCCAACAGGGCAGCUCCCAGUCCAAGCCCAACUGUUACCAGCCCAGAAAGAUGUUUCAGGAUACCCCUUUCCUCCCCACUUCCCUGCCCUCUGCAGCUCCAGCUGGUGCACCCCAUCUUUCUCUCCCCCUCCCUGCUAGGCUGGGCCCUAACAGGAGACCUUUGAGGUGGUUGGGCUUGUUCUGCAACCUUGAGUACCCUUGAGCUACUGCCUCACUCCUCAGUUUUCUUCUUCUUAAGGUUUCUAAUUGGACUUUGCCAGUGUAUUUAUUUCAAAACUGGUCAUCUUACUGACCUCGCUCAUAGUCUCUUAUUACUUUUCUAGUUGAUUCUCUUGAGUUUUCUGGAUAAACAAUAAUAUCAUGUACAAAUAAUGAUGACAAUUUCUCCUCCUUUCCAAA